rnacentral:misc_RNA from 1 species
CGUUAAUCGGAAUUACUGGGCGUAAAGCGUGCGCAGGCGGUUCGAAAGAAAGAUGGGAAUCCUUAUUUAACUUUGGAACUGCAUUUUUAACUACUAUCGAGCUAGAGUGUGUCAGAGGGAGGUGGAAUUCCGCGUAGCAGUGAAAUGCGUAGAUAUGCGAGGAACACCGAUGGCGAAGGCAGCCUCCUGGGAUAAUAUACUGACGCUCAUGCACGAAAGCGUGGGGAGCAAACAGGAUUAGACAUUCUGGUAACCACGCCCUAACCAUGCCAACUAGUUGCUGUAGCCUUCUGGCCUGGUAGCGCAGCUAACGCGUGAAGUUGACCGCCUGGGGAGUACGGUCGCAAGAUUAAAACUCAAAGGAAUUGAUUUGGACCGUAAUAAAGCGGUGGAUGAUGUGGAUUAAUUCGAUGCAACGCGAAAACCUUACCUACCCUUGACAUGUCUGGAAUCCCGAAGAGAUUUGGGGAGUGCUCGCAAGAGAACCGGAACACAGGUGCUGCAUGGCUGUCGUCAGCUCGUGUCGUGAGAUGUUGGGUUAAGUCCCGCAACGAGCGCAACCCUUGUCAUUAGUUGCUACGAAAGGGCACUCUAUCGAGACUGCCGGUGACAAACCGGAGGAAGGUGGGGAUGACGUCAAGUCCUCAUGGCCCUUAUGGGUAGGGCUUCACACGUCAUACAAUGGUCGACAGAGGUCGCCAACCCGCGAGGGGGAGCCAAUCCCAGAAACCUGAUCGUAGUCCACCGCAGUCUGCAACUCGACUGCGUGCAGUCGGAAUCGCUAGUAAUCGCGGAUCAGCAUGUCGCGGUGAAUAUGUCUGGUCUUGUACACACCGCCCGUCACACCAUGGGAGUGGGUUUUACCAGAAGUAGUUAGCCUAACCGUAAGGAGGGCGAUUACCACUAGUAGGAUUCAUGACUGGGGUAAGUCGUAAUAAGGUAGC